rnacentral:lncRNA from 1 species
GUAUUUCCUAGAUUGUUGCGGCCAGGUUUUUCAUUCCCGUUUUCGUUUUUAGGCUUUAUUGAGUGCGUGGAAAGAGGGAUGUGCAGCAGCGGGUUCCGGCAAAGUCGUGGUACCAAAAGGGAAGUACUUUUUAGGCGUGGUGGAUUUGAUAGGCCCUUGCAAGGGUGCCAUGCAUCUUCAAGUGGAAGGAACGUUGGUGGCGCCAGCAAAAGCUAGCCAAUACAGCAAGAAUAGCUGGGUUACAUUGAGAUACCUAGACCGAUUAACGGUAUUCGGUGGCGGGGCCUUCGACGGACAAGGAGAAAUUGCUUGGGAGCGAGCGCACUGUGGCGACAGAUGCAAGACACCACUUCCAAUUGUAAGCAAAACUGAAUGCUACUUUACAAAACAACAGCCAUUCAUAGACCAGUUCAUGGCAGCAAUACUAAUAAUGUUUUCUUUGCGUAAUAGCUGUAUCAAAACUGUACCAGAACCUAAGGUUUGACUUCAUCACCAACAGCAUAGUUGAGGACGUAACUUCUAUCGAUGGAAGCCCCGGGACAUAGUCUCAAUGUCCUCAGCAGCAAAAACCUCACCUUCCAUCUGUUUUCAGUGAAAGCCCUGGGACAUAGUCUCAACACCGAUGGAAUUCACAUUGGACGGUCGGAGGGGAUCAACAUAAUUAAUUCAAACAUUGUCAUCGGUGAUGAUUGCAUCUCCAUUGGCCAGGGGAGCAGGCAAGUAUGAAUCAUAAAUGUAAGGUGCGGACACAGGCAUGGCAUUAGUGUUGGAAGCUUAGGAAAGUACGAGAAGGAAGAACCUGUGUCCGGAAUUUAUGUAAAGAAUUGCAUAAUAUACGACACUGACAAUGGCGUGAGAAUUAAGAUUUGGCCCGCAUUGUAUGGUGGCAUUGCGUCGAAUAUCCAUUUCGAGGACAUCAUCAUGCAGAACGUCAGCAAUCCUAUCAUUAUAGAUCAAAUGUAUUGCCCAUGGAACCUAUGCAAUCGGAAGGUAACUUUUUAAUUUUCAUUUUCUUUCAACCAAAAAGGGAAAUAUUUUUUAUUAUUAUUAUUUAUUCAUGGAGAUCAUAUAGUUGUGUGAAGUUGGCUAGAAGAAUACAUUUAUACUAAAAUAUUGUGCCUUUUUUCACAAUCCAUCAAAAGUUCAAAUCCGCGACGUCAGCUUCAAGAAUAUUCGAGGAUCGUCAAGAACGCCCACGACCGUUCAAAUUACGUGCAGCAGCAGCGUACCAUGCAAGGACAUUGUGCUUUCUAACGUUAACCUCAAGUACACCGGAUCUAAGGGAUCUGCAAAAUCUGUUUAUACAAAUGUUAAGCCUAGGAUUAUAGGAAAGUUGAUUCCGGGAGGAUGCUAAUGCACUCAUUUGUUGAUUCUUUAUAUAAAUGGAGAAAAUUUAUUGGUUACACAUUGUAAUUCAUUCUUCAACUUUUCAAAUUUAAAUGAACUAAAUCAAAUAUGAUUAAAACUGACAGGAGCGGUUGUCGAAGCCGAUCGAAAAUAACCUUCUUGGUUACCUACAAAUACAGCUGUAGACAGUGGUGAAGGAUCGUAUCCACAGUGAAUUGAUUACCUAUUUAUUUAUCUUAAUCAAGACCAAUCAAACCAAUGGAAAGCACAAGUGAAGGCAAGUAAUUGCAAAUAGAACAAAAGUAAAGUGCAAGGAAAGUAAAAAGGGGGGGUUUUGAGAUGAUUUGAUUAACAACUAAUGAAAGUAAUUAAAACAGCAAGUAAUAAAAAUAAAAGAGGAAAUCAAUAAGAGAAAGGUCUAGUUGAAGAUAUGGAUCCACUUUGGUUGUUUGGGUUGAUCAUUGAAACAUGGUUAUCCUGAUUAACUCAAUAGGUUGGUUAUGGGGUUGGAAGACGCUUCUCACCACCAUGUCUUUCCUUAUGAAUAAACUGAUUAGGGAACGUCCUCUAACCAAUUACUAAUCAACAAAUUGCCAAGGAACGUCCUUGGGCCAUAGGCAUCAAAACAAUUGCCAAUUGCAUGAAGAACAAGAAAGAUCCAAACCCUAACUACUCAAACGCAUGAGAUGUUGUUAGAUCAUGCAAUUCCUUGGGUUUUUACUCCAAGUGUUCUAAGAUUAGAAUAUUUCCAGCAAUUACGGACUAACAAAUAUCCUAAUCAACAAUCAAUUAACUUUGCAAUCAAGAAUCAAGUGGCCAAUUUGAUCAAAACAACAAAGCAAUCUUUAUAAUUAAGCACAAUUGCAUGAAUAUUGAAUAAAAUCAAAGACAAAAGUUUAUGUUCAUAUCUCACAACCCUUUAAACAACCUUAGUUUCAACCAAACUUCAACUAGAAAUAGGGUUUCAGCCACUCAUGGCUGAACCAAAACAGAAAAUAAAGGAAAAGAAGAAAGAAGAUGAAGAACUAAGGUGGAGGAGCCUUUGGAGAGCCUUGAUCAAUCCCUUGAUGGAAGAUGGUCAUUCUUGGUCUUCUUGAGGCCUUUAAAUAGAUCUUGAGAGGCUGCUUUUUUCCUUUUUAGUGUCCAUGCAUCUUUGAGUGAUUGCCCCAUAGUGCCCUUGAGUUUUCUUUGUGCAUGUAUGGAGUUGCAAGCCCUUUUUGGUCUUUUAAUUGAUGUCCAAGGUGUGUCCAAGAAGAUUUAUGCACUAAAGAGGAAGGUGGAGCCUUGAUUUGAAUUUUGAAUGAGCAUGGCACUAUGUAGGAAACAUGUGAUCUCCAAGAUUUGGCUCAUUGAAUAGGGAAGAGCAUGUUCGGGGGCAAGUUCGGCCGCCUAAGUUAAGUUUCGGGGGCAGGACUUUCGUCUCUGGAGCCAAGGUUUGGCGGCCGAAGGUGCCCCCGAAGGUGGGUGACUUUCGCCUCUGGACUGGACUUUAGGCCGCCGAAAGUGCCCCCGAAAGUGGGUGACUUUCGGCUUCCGAAAGUGCUUCCGAAGGUACCCCCGAAAGUGGUUGAGUUUUGGCUUCCGAAAGUGCUUCCGAAGGUGCUUCCGAAAGUGGCUGUUUUGGGCAUUCUUUGGCACUUUUAAUAGCAUUUUCUUCAAAUUGUUUCUUCACACCUAAUAUUUGCAAAACAUGAUUAAAACCACAAAAUUAGGUAGAAUAGGUGCAAAUAAACAUCAAUAAGAUCAUGAAAAUAUGGACUAAAAUAUGCUCUAUCAAAUACCCCCACACUUAAGCUUUUGCUUGUCCUCAAGCAAAUGAACAUAGUCAAAUAAGUCUUCUUUGCUCUAGAUCCUUAUUUCCACUUAAGCUCAUACUCUAGACCCCUAUUUUGAAGCAUUGCAGUGAAGAAUAUAUGCAUGAAGAUUACUUACCUCUUUUCCUUGUUUCCCUUUGCUCACCAUGGCUAGGAUUGGUUUUCCUCAAGAGAGACAUGCACAUUAAUUUGUUAAGACUUUUUCUAGCUUUUGGAUUGACUUGCCCUUACCUUGAAGUACUUUAUUCAGGCUUUUGCACUUUAGAUCUUGCUUGGAAAGGUUACCAACCUAUUUUUGAUUUGAAGGUUUAGAUUUUCAGUUGGUCACCUAUCCAAGUGGCUACUAGCCUUGUUCAUAGUCUUUUGACCAUUGGAACAACUUUUGAAUUGUGCUUUUGAGGUCUUUGCCUUUGCUGAAUUUCCUUUCUCUCAAUGAUUUGGGCAAAUCAACACCAAUUGCUAAAUCAAGUCAUGUUAAGUUUAUUCACACAAUUUUAAUUUUUCUCAAUCGAUUGAGGGUCAUCAAUAUAUUUUUCACCAUGGCAAACUCAAAGAUUCAAUUCAAAAGACAAUUCUCAAACAUGAAUAUAACUCACUGCAGGUGAUUCAACAUAAGUUUAAAGAGUUAUCACAUCAAUGGGGUCAUGGAAAGAAAAACUCAUCCAACAUGUUCAUCAUUUUGAGUAGAGCAAAACAAAAAGAUGAAGAAGGUUGUGGUUGUGUGUGUUUUAUUGAAAGCAUAAAUAAAUUAAAAUUUAACUGUGGCUAAUUAACUAAAAGGAACUUAAAACUGAAAGGAAAAAAGAAAAAAAAAAAUUUUGCGUCUGAAAGCAUGAGAAAGAAGAAGGAAGAAUGAAGAAGCUAUAUGCACCCCCACACUUAAAUUAUGCAUUGUCCUCAAUGUAAAAGAAAGAAAAAGGAGAACAAAGGAAUCUGAAUACUCCCCUGGGGUGUGGUGUGCAUGACAUGAUCCUCUAGGCAGAAUGAGUGACGAACAGAUGUUCGUCUGGGAACUCUUCCUUGACUAGGCAUGGUGCAGUGUUGGAUGGAAGUCGGCUGAGGUGGUCUGCCACAAGGUUUUCUUUGCCCUUUUUGUCUCUUAUCUCAAGAUCAAAUUCUUGUAGAAGUAGGAUCCACCUUAUGAGCCUUGGUUUUGCUUCUUUUUUCUUGAUCAAGUAUCGCAAGGCUGCAUGGUCAGAAUAGACAAUGACCUUGGUUCCCAAUAGAUAUGGUCUGAACUUCUCCAAAGCAAAUACAACUGCCAAGAGUUCUUUUUCAGUUGUUGUGUAGUUGCUUUGUGUAGUGUCUAGUGUGCGAGAGGCAUAAUGAAUGACAUGGGGCGAAUUGCCCACACGUUGCCCCAAGACUGCGCCUACUGCAUAAUUGCUUGCAUCACACAUGAUUUCAAAUGGUAGGUUCCAAUCAGGCCCUUGAAUAAUUGGGGCAGCCACAAGCAAUUCUUUAAUCAAAUCAAACGCCUUUUUGCAAUCUGCAUCAAAAUCAAAUGUUACAUCUUGUUGGAGCAAUCUGCAUAAUGGCAAAGUAAUUUUUGAGAAAUCUUUGAUGAAUCUUCUGUAGAACCCUGCAUGUCCAAGGAAGGAAUGGAUGUCUCUAACAUUGGAAGGGUAAGGCAGAUUUUUUAUGGUAUCCACCUUAGCUUUGUCCACUUCAAUGCCCUUAGCUGACACAACAUGACCUAAGACCAUACCUUGAUUAACCAUAAAAUGACAUUUUUCAUAAUUAAGCACAAGGUUAGUUUCAAGGCAACUUUGCAAGAUUUUUUCUAAAUUGGUCAGGCAUUCAUCAAAAGAAUUUCCAUGAACUGUGAAGUCAUCCAUAAAUACCUCAAUUGUCUUACCCACAUAGUCAGAAAAUAUGCUCAUCAUGCAUCGCUGAAAGGUGGCAGGUGCAUUGCAUAGUCCAAAUGGCAUUCUUCUAAAGGCGAAAGUGCCAAAAGGACAAGUGAAGGUAGUCUUCUCUUGGUCUUCUGGAGCAACUGGGAUUUGGUAGAAACCUGAAUAACCAUCAAGACAACAAUAGUGAGAUUUACCUGCAAGCCUUUCUAGCAUCUGAUCAAUGAAAGGCAGUGGGAAGUGGUCCUUCCUUGUUGCAGUAUUGAGCUUCCUAUAGUCCAUGCAUACCCUCCAUCCAUUCUGGACUCUAGUGGGGACAAGUUCCCCUUCAGCAUUUGGAACAAUGGUAAUUCCAGUUUUCUUUGGAACUACAUGUACAGGGCUCACCCAUUUGCUAUUAGAGAUUGGGUAUAUGAUGCCUGCAUCAAGGAGCUUGACUAUCUCUUUUUUCACUACCUCCAUCAUAGGUGGAUUUAGUCUUCUUUGAGCAUCUCUGACUGGCUUGCACUCAUCCUCCAUGUGAAUUCUAUGCAUGCAGGUGGAUGGAGAAAUACCUUUGAUGUCAUCAAUAGUCCAUCCUAUGGCUCCUUUGUGUUUCUGUAGUACUUUCAAGAGGCUUGCUUCUUCUUGUUGGCUCAAUUCAUUGGACACUAUUACUGGUAGUGUCUUGUUAGCUCCCAAAUACAUGUAUUUCAGAUGGUUUGGAAGAGGCUUCAGAUCUGAAGGCUGUUGCAAAGAUGGAUUAGAAGAGCUUGCUUGUGAUGAAGCCUGCUGGGAGAGGUUCGGCGGCCGAAUCUCUUCAGUUUGCGGAGUGAGCUUUGGCGGCAGAUUCGGCUUCCGUAAGUCAGUGGGGUUCGGCGGUCGAAAGAUGUUCGGCGGCCGAAGUUCGUCUUCCGUCUGUGGAUUAUUUUUCUGAAGUGGUGCGGCAGAAGGCUGUGUUUGAGGGGCAGUAGGGUUCGGCGGCCGAAAGUGGGCUAUGUUUGGCGGCCGAAUGUCUCCAGUCUGUGCUACCUCCACUUGCUGAAUGCUGCAGAUUGUUUCUUUUAGUUUCUGGGUUUCAAUCCUGCAAAGGUCAUCAUCUAAAACAGAAUCUUGAUUUUCAUUAAACACAUUUUUGCUCAAACAAUCAAUAAUAUCAAGACCAUAAACUGGGGACAUAUCAUGUGGAUAUUUCAUGGCAUCAUAGAUAUUGUACUUUAUGACUUCCCCUUCAAAUUCCAUGGUAAGAGUACCAUCAUGCACAUCAAUUUUAGUUCUAGCAGUACUCAAGAAGGGACGUCCAAGAAGAAUGUCAGAACUGGUAUUGCAACUAUCUUCCUUAGUAUCAAUCACAUAAAAAUCAGCAGGGAAGACAAGUUCACCUACUUGGACUAAGACAUCUUCAAGAACACCUAUGGGAUAUACCACAGAUCUAUCAGCCAAUUGUAUCACAACCCUUGUUUCUUUGAGUGCACAUGCAUUUAGAGAUUUAUAGAUGGAGAGAGGCAUGACAUUAAUAGAUGCACCAAGAUCACACAUGGCUUUCUUGAUACCAACAUUCCCAAUUUUGCAAGAGAUAGCAAACAUUCCUUUGUCCUUGCAUUUGGUAGGGAGUUCUCUUUUAAUAACAGCAGUAACUACCUCACCUACACUUACUUUUUCUCUUUCAGCGAGCUUCCUUCUAUUGGUGCAAAGCUCCUUCAGAAAUUUGGCAUACCUAGGAAUUUGCUUGACAGCGUCUAGCAGUGGUAUGUUGAUCUCCACUUUUCUGAAAGUCUCAAGAAUCUCCUUCUCUUCCUUUUCUUUUUGUGUUCUUUCAAAUCUUUUUGGAAAAGGAGGUGGGAUGUGAAAGCUUGUCUUUGGAUCGGUCUUGUGUGCAGGAGGUGGUUCUGACUGAGACGGGGAGGCUUCAGGUGGCCUUGGUUCUACCUCUUGCUCAUGAUUAUUAUCUUGAAGCUCUUUGCCACUUCUCAAAGUAAUAGCACUAACAUUUUGUCUUGGAUUAGUUUCAGUUUGAGAAGGGAGCUUACCUUGGGUUUGCAGUUGGCCUAUAGAGAUGGCCAUUUGGCUUAUGUCUUGUCGUACGCCUUGCAUGGUGUUCACCAUUGUUUCCAUCAUUGUUUGCAUGAUCUUCUCAAGGUUCUGAUUUGGAUUUGAAGGUGCUGGCUGGGCUUGAUUUCUUUGGUAAUUUUGGUAAUUCUGAUCAUUGUUGGGCUUUGCAUAGCUGAAAUUGGGGUGAUCUCUCCAACCUAGAUUGUAUGUAUUAGAGCAUGGGUCAUAUCUAGGUUGGUUGUUGUAUCUGCCAAUUGCAUUGACUUGCUGAUUGUCUUCUUGGAGGGUGGGACACUGAUCAGUGGGGUGUCCUACAUAUAAGCAGAUUCCACAUGGCACAGGAGGCUGGGGUGCUUGAGUCUGUUGGACUUGGUCUAGGGCGAUCUUUUCCACAAGAAAAGUUAGUUUAGAAAUUUGAGAUUCAACAGAGGAUGUACUUACCUCAUAGAUUCCUCUUUGCGUUUGUUCCUCUUCAUCAUAUUGCUUAGACGAAGCUGCGAGAUUGGAUAUCAGUUCCUUCAUCUCCCUGGGUGUCUUGUCUAGGAUAGAUCCUCCACAGGCUACAUUUAUGAGUUUCCUUUCUGAUGGAAUCAAUCCUCCAUAGAAGAACUGAAUGAGGGCUUUGUCUGACAUAUCAUGUUGUGGACAACCUGUGCAUAGUCUUUCAAACCUUUCCCAAUAAUCAUAUAAGUCCUCAUUUUUUCUUUGCCUUAUGCUAGUUAUUUCUCUUAUUAUACCAAUUGAUUUAGAUGGUGGGAAGUAUUUGUCCAAAAAGGCUUGGACCAUAUCAUCCCAAGAAGUUAUAGAUCCAGGUGGCAAAUAAAAUAACCAAUCCUUAGCAUGGUCAUCUAAUGAAAAAGGGAAGGCUUUUAGUUUAACAUGAUCUUCAGAGAUCCCUUGAGGUCUCAUGGAUGAGCAAAUAAUUUUAAAUUCUUUUAAGUGCUUAUAGGGAUUUUCAUUUUGCAAACCUCUAAAUUUAGGGAGAUGAUGAAUCAAACCUGAUUUCAGUUCAAAGGGAACUGUAAGAGGUGGAUAGGUGAUGCAAAGUGGAGCAUAAUCACCUAUAGGAGUUGCUAACUCCCUCAUGGUUCUUUCCCUUUGUGCUUGUGGCCUAUUUGCUGGAUUUUCUUGGAUUAUUUGGCCUUGGACAGCAUGUCCAUCAUGGGCAGCAGCUGGUGCUUGAGGUUCUGCCAUUGGUGCACAAUCUGGUUGCUGGAGUGAAGGAAGUUCGGCGGCCGAAGGUUGAUGAGUUUCGGCGGCCGAAUGUUGGGCAGAAGGUUCUACGGUUGAGGCUUGCUUUCCUAGCCUUCUGAUGGUGCGUUCAAUUUCUGGAUCAAAGGGCAGAGUGUCCCUAUGUUCAGACCUGGUCAUGAAAGAAAAAUAAACAAACAAGUAAAAUCAAGUCCCCGGCAACGGCGCCAAUUUUUGACAGGAGUGGUUGUCGAAGCCGGUCAAAAAUAACCUUCUUGGUUACCUAUAAAUACAACUGUAGACAGUGGUAAAGGAUCGUAUCCAUAGAGAAUUGAUUACCUAUUUAUUUAUCUUAAUCAAGACCAAUCAAACCAAUGGAAAGCACAAGUGAAGGCAAGUAAUUGCAAAUAGAACAAAAGUAAAGUGCAAGGAAAGUAAAAAGGGGGGGAUUUUGAGAUGAUUUAAUUAACAACUAAUGAAAGUAAUUAAAACAGCAAGUAAUAAAAAUAAAAGAGGAAAUCAAUAAGAGAAAGGUCUAGUUGAAGAUGUGGAUCGACUUUGGUUGUUUGGGUUGAUCAUUGAAACAUGGUUAUCUUGAUUAACUCAAUAGGUUGGUUAUGGGGGUGGAAGACGCUUCUCACCACCAUGUCUUUCCUUAUGAAUAAACUGAUUAGGGAACGUCCUCUAACCAAUUACUAAUCAACAAAUUGCUAAGGAACGUCCUUGGGCCAUAGGCAUCAAAACAAUUGCCAAUUGCAUGAAAAACAAGAAAGAUCCAAACCCUAACUACUCAAACGCAUGAGAUGUUGUUAGAUCAUGCAAUUCCUUGGGUUUUUACUCCAAGUGUUCUAAGAUUAGAAUAUUUCCAGCAAUUACGGACUAACAAAUAUCCUAAUCAACAAUCAAUUAACUUUGCAAUCAAGAAUCAAGUGGCCAAUUUGAUCAAAACAACAAAGCAAUCUUUAUAAUUAAGCACAAUUGCAUGAAUAUUGAAUAAAAUCAAAGACAAAAGUUUCUGUUCAGAUCUCACAACCCUUUAAACAACCUUAGUUUCAACCAAACUUCAACUAGAAAUAGGGUUUCAGCCACUCAUGGCUGAACCAAAACAGAAAAUAAAAGAAAAGAAGAAAGAAGAUGAAGAACUAAGGUGGAGGAGCCUUUGGAGAGCCUUGAUCAAUCCCUUGAUGGAAGAUGGUCAUUCUUGGUCUUCUUGAGGCCUUUAAAUAGAUCUUGAGAGGCUGCUUUUUUCCUUUUUAGUGUCCAUGCAUCUUUGAGUGAUUGCCCCAUAGUGCCCUUGAGUUUUCUUUGUGCAUGUAUGGAGUUGCAAGCCCUUUUUGGUCUUUUAAUUGAUGUCCAAGGUGUGUCCAAGAAGAUUUAUGCACUAAAGAGGAAGGUGGAGCCUUGAUUUGAAUUUUGAAUGAGCAUGGCACUAUGUAGGAAACAUGUGAUCUCCAAGAUUUGGCUCAUUGAAUAGGGAAGAGCAUGUUCGGGGGCAAGUUCGGCCGCCUAAGUUAAGUUUCGGGGGCAGGACUUUCGUCUCUGGAGUCAAUGUUUGGCGGCCGAAGGUGCCCCCGAAGGUGGGUGACUUUCGCCUCUGGACUGGACUUUAGGCCGCCGAAAGUGCCCCCGAAAGUGGGUGACUUUCGGCUUCCGAAAGUGCUUCCGAAAGUGCUUCCGAAGGUGCUUCUGAAAGUGGCUAUUUUGGGCAUUCUUUGGCACUUUUAAGAGCAUUUUCUUCAAAUUGUUUCUUCACACCUAAUAUUUGCAAAACAUGAUUAAAACCACAAAAUUAGGUAGAAUAGGUGCAAAUAAACAUCAAUAAGAUCAUGAAAAUAUGGACUAAAAUAUGCUCUAUCAAAAACCAAUAACUAAAAUAUUUCAAAUUUAACUGAUAUUAACAAUACGUAAAUAAUUAUUUAAGACCUCAAUCGUAAAAAUUGCAAAAUGAAAUAAAAAAAGACAAUUUAUUAAAUGAACUUAUUAAUUUAAUUGUCAAAAUUCAAAUUAAAAUGCUAUAAUUCAAUUGUAUCAAAAUUUUACUUUAUCGAAGUUCAGAAUGAUUCAUUUCUUAAUUAAAAAACUAUAAUUCGAAAUUAAGAAAUCAAAACGAAAUUUAUUUCCCUGUAAUCCCAGCCCUACCAUCAUAAUUAAAAUAUUGCAAUUCAAUAUUUUUUUUCCUUUUUUAAUUAGCGCAAUAUAAUUCGAAGAAUAUAUAUAUAUCAGUCUGCUCCAAAAUUUUGUCUUCGCUUUUUUGGCAUAAUUUAUUUCCUAAUGUAACUGUUUUAAGGAAUCGAGGAAAAAAAAUAAUAUACCGCUGUAAGCAGACGAAAUGUGCUACAAAGCUCGUUGUGAAUUUCUUUUUUUUUUUUCUUUUUGCUGCGUUCCAUUUAAAAGCAAAUGAUUACAACCGAAGCUGAAUAUAUUGUCGACGCUGAAAUAAAGUACGCAUAAAAUAUUACAGUGCGUCUUCACUCAAGAAAAGAGAGAAAAGAUGCGGUAAGUUUUUUUUUUCUUUCCUCUUUUCUUCUUUCUUUUUUUUUUCUUGUACUUGUCAGAAAACAGUGCGUAUGCAUGCGCGAGAAAAGGAAUUGCGGGUGCGGCAACACCGAUCCUUUGGCGUCCAACACGACCAGAAUUGCGGAAGUACGAAAAAGGUUGUUGCGCAAGUUAUAUAGGGUUCCAGUAUAAAACAAUAUGUUUGGAGAGAAGUGCACAAGUUAUAGUUGUUAGUUGCAAGCUAGUGCACGCAGCCUUUUUUCGCCUAAAACAAUUAAAGCAACAAAAAGGAGGAAAAACAGAAAACAGAAUGCGUGAAAAUGCUACAGCCUGUAAUAAAUCUUGAGUAAAUUAAACGAGCCACUUGACAUAUAAAAGGCCUUUCGGAGGAGGGGAAAUUCACCAUUUACGAAUCAAUAUAAGCUAUAGAUAUCAAAAGAGAGGAAGCGCCUUUGAAAGAGAGACAUGGGUUCCAAGGCACAUGUAUGCACAGUAUACCUGUUGUUACUGUUUGCUUUUACCAGCGAAGCUCGGCCCAAUACCUUUGAUGUCAAAAAAUAUGGUGCUAAGACAGGAUCGGAUAUCACUAAGGUAUGGAAGUAAAUUCGAUUCUCGAUAUCGCGACGGUGUUUCCUAGAUUGUUGCGGCCAGGUUUUUCAUUCCUGUUUUCGUUUUUAGGCUUUAUUGAGUGCGUGGAAAUAGGGAUGUGUAGCAGCGGGUUCCGGCAAAGUUGUGGUACCAAAAGGGCAGUACUUUUUAGGCGUGGUGGAUUUGAUAGGCCCUUGCAAGGGUGCCAUGCAUCUUCAAGUGGAAGGAACGUUGGUGGCGCCAGCAAAAGCUAGCCAACACCGCAAGAAUAGCUUGGUUACAUUGAGAUACCUGGACCGAUUAAUUGUAUCCGGUGGCGGGGCCUUCGACGGACAAGGAGAAAUCACUUGGGAGCGAGCGCACUGUGGUGACAGAUGCAAGACACCACUUCCAAUUGUAAGCAAAACCGGAUGCUACUUUAUAAAACAACAGCCAUUCAUAGACCUGUUCAUGGCAGCAAUACUAAUAAUGUUUUCUUUGCGUAAUUGCUGUAUCAAAACUGUACCAGAACCUAAGGUUUGACUUCGUCACCAACAGCAUAGUUGAGGACGUAACUUCCAUCGAUAACAAGCAGUUCCACGUCAAUGUCCUCCGCAGCAAAAACGUCACCUUCCAGCAGUUUUCAGUUAAAGCCCCGGGACAUAGUCUCAACACCGAUGGAAUUGACAUUGGACAGUCGGAGGGGAUCAACAUAAUUAACUAAAACAUUGUCACCAGUGAUGAUUGCAUCUCCAUUGGCCAGGGGAGCGGGCAAGUAUGAAUCACAAACGUAAGGUGCGGACACGGGCAUGGCAUUAGUGUUGGAAGCUUAGGAAAGUACGAGAAGGAAGAACCUGUGUCCGGAAUUUAUGUAAAGAAUUGCACAAUAUACGACACUAACAAUGGCGUGAGAAUUAAGACUUGGCCCGCAUUGUAUGGUGGCAUUGCAUCGAAUAUCCAUUUCGAGGGCAUCGUCAUGCAGAACGUCAGCAAUCCCAUCAUUAUAGAUCAAAUGUACUGCCCAUGGAACCUAUGCAAUCGGAAGGUAACUUUUUAAUAUUCAUUUUUUUUCAACCAAAAAGGGGAGUCUUUUUUAUUAUUAUUAUUUAUUCAUGGAGAUCAUAUAGUUGUGUGAUGUUUGCUAGAAGAAUACAUUUAUACUAAAAUAUUGUGCUUUUUUUCAGUAGCCAUCAAAAGUUCAAAUCAGCGACGUCAGCUUCAAGAAUAUUCGAGGAUCGUCAAGAACGCCCACGGCCGUUCAAAUUACAUGCAGCAGCAGCGUACCAUGCAAGGACAUUGUGCUUUCUAACGUUAACCUCAAGUACACCGGAUCUAAGGGAUCUGCAAAAUCUGUUUGUACAAAUGUUAAGCCUAAGAUUAUAGGAAAGUUGAUUCCGGGAGGAUGCUAAUGCACUCAUUUGUUGAUUCUUUAUAUAAAUGGAGAAAAUUUCUUUGUUGUACAUUGCAAUUCAUUCUUCAACUUUUCAAAUUUAAAUGAACUAAAUCAAAAAUUAUUAAAACUAAUAACUAAAAUAUUUCAAAUUUAACUGACAUUAACAAUACUUAAAUAUUUUUUUAAGACCUCAAUCGUAAAAAUUACAAAAUGAAAUAAAAAAAGACAAUUAAUUAAAUGAACUUACUAAUUUAAUUGUCAAAAUUCAAAUUAAAAUGCUAUAAUUUAGUUGUAUCAAAAUUUUACUUUAUCGAAGUUCAGAAUGAUUCAUUUCUUAAUUAAAAAACUAUAAUUCGAAAUUAAGAAAUCAAAACGAAAUUUAUUUCCCUGUAAUCCUAGCCCUACCAUCAUAAUUAAAAUAUUGCAAUUCAAAUUUUUUUUUCCUUUUUUAAUUAGCGCAAUAUAAUUCGAAGAAAAUAUAUAUAUCAGUCUACUCCAAAAUUUUGUCUUCGAUUUUUUGGCGUAAUUUAUUUCCUAAUGUAACUGUUUUAAGGAAUCGAGGAAAAAAAAUAAUAUACCGGUGUAAGGAGACGAAAUGUGCUACAAAGCUCGUUGUGAAUUUCUUUUUUUUUUUUUGCUGCGUUCCAUUUAAAAGCAAAUGAUUACAACCGAAGCUAAAUAUAUUGUCGACGCUGAAAUAAAGUACGCAUAAAAUAUUACGGUGCGUCUUCACUCAAGAAAAGAGAGAAAAGAUGCGGUAAGUUUUUUUUUUCCUUCCUCUUUUCUUCUUUCUUUUUUUUUUCUUGUACUUGUCAGAAAACAGUGCGUAUGCACGCGCGAGAAAAGGAAUUGCGGGUGCGGCAACACCGAUCCUUCCGCAUCCAACACGACUAGAAUUGCGGAAGUACGAAAAAGGUUGUUGCGCAAGUUAUAUAGGGUUCCAGUAUAAAACAAUAUGUUUGGAGAGAAGUGCGCAGGUUGUAGUUGUUAGUUGCAGGCUAGCGCACGCAGCCUAAAUUCGCCUAAAACAAUUAAAGCAACAAAAAGAAGGAAAAACAGAAAACGGAAUGCGUGAAAUUGCUACAGCCUGUAAUAAACCUUGAGUAAAUUAAACGAGCCACUUGACAUAUAAAAGGCCUUUUGGAGGAGGGGAAAUUCACAAACAUUUACUAAACAAUAUAAGCUAUAGAUAUCGAAAGAGAGGAAGCGCCUUUGAAAGAGAGACAUGGGUUCCAAGGCACAUGUAUUCACAGUAUACCUAUUGUUGCUGUUUGCUUUUACCAGCAAAGCUCUGCCCAAUACCUUUGAUGUCAUGAAAUAUGGUGCCAAGGCAGGAUCGGAUAUCACUAAGGUAUGGAAGUAAAUUUGAUUCUCGAUAUCGCGACGGUAUUUCCUAGAUUGUUGCGGCCAGGCUUUUCAUUCCCGUUUUCGUUUUUAGGCUUUAUUGAGUGCGUGGAAAGAGGGAUGUGCAGCAGCGGGUUCCGGCAAAGUCGUGGUACCAAAAGGGAAGUACUUUUUAGGCGUGGUGGAUUUGAUAGGCCCUUGCAAGGGUGCUAUGCAUCUUCAAGUGGAAGGAACGUUGGUGGCCCCAGCAAAAGCUAGCCAACACAGCAAGAAUAGCUGGGUUACAUUGAGAUACCUGGACCGAUUAACGGUAUCC